rnacentral:rRNA from 1 species
CGCGUAGGUGGGUGAAUAAGUCAGAUGUGAAAGGCCCGGGCUCAACUUGGGAAUUGCAUUUGAUACUGUUCACCUAGAGUGGAGUAGAGGGUAGCGGAAUUUCCGGUGUAGCGGUGAAAUGCGUAGAUAUCGGAAGGAACACCAGUGGCGAAGGCGGCUACCUGGACUUUAACUGACACUGAGGCGCGAAAGCGUGGGUAGCGAACA